CUUCUGGGACACCACCGGCGGACGGCUCAGUAACACGUCGGUAACCUACCCUCGGGAGGGGGAUAACCCCGGGAAACUGGGGCUAAUCCCCCAUAGGUGUGGGGUACUGGAAGGUCCCCACACCGAAAGGGGCUUCGUGCCCGCCCGAGGAUGGGCCGGCGGCCGAUUAGGUAGUUGGUGGGGUAACGGCCCACCAAGCCGAAGAUCGGUACGGGCCAUGAGAGUGGGAGCCCGGAGAUGGACACUGAGACACGGGUCCAGGCCCUACGGGGCGCAGCAGGCGCGAAACCUCCGCAAUGCGGGAAACCGCGACGGGGGGACCCCCAGUGCCGUGGCAACGCCACGGCUUUUCCGGAGUGUAAAAAGCUCCGGGAAUAAGGGCUGGGCAAGGCCGGUGGCAGCCGCCGCGGUAAUACCGGCGGCCCGAGUGGUGGCCGCUAUUAUUGGGCCUAAAGC
rnacentral:rRNA from 1 species